UCCCAAUGGUGUAUAUGGUACUUAGACUUGAGACACCAAGGAUGUCUUGUAUGAUUACUCCACUCUUUGAUACCAGACUUAUAUAUUUGGAUAUCCCAGAUCUAGUACGGUCGGUCAUUAGGAGUGGUAGUCAAUAGAGGAUCAUCCACUCUCGUUGUCAUAAGAGAAAUGUCUCAUUUGUUCUUGCUCAGACAAAUCCCUAG
rnacentral:lncRNA from 1 species